rnacentral:lncRNA from 1 species
GUCAGCUCGAGGACCCGCCCUUGCCGUCUGAUCCGCUCCCCCCGACGCCUAGCGCGGCCCUGUUUUUGGAGCCGCCGCGCCCCGGCAGGACCGCCCCCCCGCUCUCGCGGACCUGCGCUGCAGCCCUCGCGGGCGCCAGAGCCCCCGACCAGAGCCGCCGUCGUCCUGAUGAGGACCGUCCUGCUGGGGGUCUGCAGCAGGCACCUGCCCGCCCUUGGGCCCCCGCCCCGGAAACGGGGCCCCCGCCUCUGCGCAGACUCACUGCGCCUCGGCGCGCAGCGCGGCGCCCGAGGAAGUCCCGCGAGUCAGGGCCCAGGCGGCGGGAACAGGAGCAGGAAGAAGUCUGUCGGCAGCCGCUGUCCUGGCACCUGCAGCGGCCUCUCCGGGGAGCAGCCUCCAGGGGACCCGCGGCGCGCACCCCGGGAGUUCAAUGACUUCAAAGUCACACAUUGAGCAGCUGUCACAGGCAAGACCAGGUG